AGGAUAAACGCUGGCGGCGUGCCUAACACAUGCAAGUCGAACGCGCUUUUUCGCAAGAGGAGAGCGAGUGGCGGACGGGUGAGUAACACAUGGGUACCUACCUUGGAGUGAGGGAUACCGGCGAGAAAUCGCCGACAAUACCGCAUACGCUUCUCUUCACCGGGAAGCAAAGUUGCGCAAGCGACGCUCUGAGAUGGGCCUGUGGCCGAUUAGCUAGUUGGUGGGAUAACGGCCUACCAAGGCGACGACGGGUA
rnacentral:rRNA from 1 species